UGGGCAACCUGCCCUGUACACACGGAUAACAUACCGAAAGGUAUGCUAAUACGAGAUAAUAUGUUUUUAUCGCAUGGUAGAAGUAUCAAAGCUCCGGCGGUACAGGAUGGACCCGCGUCUGAUUAGCUAGUUGGUAAGGUAACGGCUUACCAAGGCGACGAUCAGUAGCCGACCUGAGAGGGUGAUCGGCCACAUUGGAACUGAGACACGGUCCAAACUCCUACGGGAGGCAG
rnacentral:rRNA from 1 species